GGAAAACCAAGCAGAAAGGAACCAACUUCUGUAGAGAGAAACAACUCUUUGUCCUGGCUUCAAAUUGUUUCCUUCGUUAUCUUCUAGAUUUCUUCUCAUCUUUGCUACGUUUGCAGCAUUGCCUAUGACAAAGAUUGUAUCCAGGAACCUUCCAGCAAUGUCUGCUCUGUUGGGUGGAGCGUGGUCGUAAUGAGCGAACCUUGGCAAUGAAAAGUUUGUUCUGAACAAGACAAAAAAGAGGCUGUGUUGCAAAAGUGAACC